rnacentral:rRNA from 1 species
GACGAACGCUGGCGGCGUGCCUAACACAUGCAAGUCGAACGGAAAGGUCCUGCCUUUGUGGGCUGGUCUGCUUGCCACCGGGGAACCAACCCGUAGGUUCCCUGCCCUUGCCCUUGGGAUAUCUUCAGGCAGCUUGAGCUCAUACCGCCUAAGAUCUCCCGCUGUAUGGUGGGCGUGGGUAAGUUUCGGCGGUUGGUGAUGGACUCGCGGCGUAUCAGGUUGUUGGAUGGGUAGUGGCUUACCAAGGCCUGGCGCGGUAGCAGGGCUGGGAGGGUGAGCGGCCACAUUGGGACGGGGAUGCGGCCCAGACUCCAACGGGAGGCAGCGGUGGGGAAGAGUGCACAAGGGGCGGAAGCCUGGUGCAGCAACGCCGCGUGCGGGAUGACGGCCUUCGGGUUGUAUACCGAUUCCGCCUGUGACGAAGCGUGAGUGACGGUAAUGGGUAAAGAAGCACCGGCUAACUACGUG